UACGUAGGGUGCAAGCGUUAAUCGGAAUUACUGGGCGUAAAGCGUGCGCAGGCGGUGAUGUAAGACAGAUGUGAAAAUCCCCCGGGCUCAACCUGGGGAACUGCAUUUGUGACUGCAUCGCUGGAGUGCGGCAGAGGGGGAUGGAAUUCCGCGUGUAGCAGUGAAAUGCGUAGAUAUGCGGAGGAACACCGAUGGCGAAGGCAAUCCCCUGGGCCUGCACUGACGCUCAUGCACGAAAGCGUGGGGAGCAAACAGG
rnacentral:rRNA from 1 species